rnacentral:rRNA from 1 species
GAUGAACGCUGGCGGCGUGCCUAAUACAUGCAAGUCGAGCGAACAGACGAGGAGCUUGCUCCUCUGACGUUAGCGGCGGACGGGUGAGUAACACGUGGAUAACCUACCUCUAAGACUGGGAUAACUUCGGGAAACCGGAGCUAAUACCGGAUAAUAUAUUGAACCGCAUGGUUCAAUAGUGAAAGACGGUUUUGCUGUCACUUAUAGCUGGAUCCGCGCCGCAUUAGCUAGUUGGUAAGGUAACGGCUUACCAAGGCGACGAUGCGUAGCCGACCUGAGAGGGUGAUCAGCCACACUGGAACUGAGACACGGUCCAGACUCCUACGGGAGGCAGCAGUAGGGAAUCUUCCGCAAUGGGCGAAAGCCUGACGGAGCAACGCCGCGUGAGUGAUGAAGGUCUUCGGAUCGUAAAACUCUGUUAUUAGGGAAGAACAAAUGUGUAAGUAACUAUGCACGUCUUGACGGUACCUAAUCAGAAAGCCACGGCUAACUACGUG